rnacentral:rRNA from 1 species
UACGUAGGGUGCGAGCGUUAAUCGGAAUUACUGGGCGUAAAGCGUGCGCAGGCGGUGAUGUAAGACCGAUGUGAAAUCCCCGGGCUUAACCUGGGAACUGCAUUGGUGACUGCAUUGCUGGAGUAUGGCAGAGGGGGGUGGAAUUCCACGUGUGGCAGUGAAAUGCGUAGAGAUGUGGAGGAACACCGAUGGCGAAGGCAGCCCCCUGGGCCAAUACUGACGCUCAUGCACGAAAGCGUGGGGAGCAAACAGG